GUUGAAGGUUACUAGGGAGUGCCUUUGGGGUUAAAACCCAAAAGAUAGACCCAAAAACAUUCAACAUACAACAUAUAACAUUCAACCACUCAAUUCAGCGUAGCUGAGUUGAGUAUCCGGGGUUGCGGAUAUACUCAUUAAGAGAUGGCAGUUGUAAUCGAAGCGGUCUGGAAAGGCCCACCAUAGAAGGUAACAGUCCUGUAGGUGAAACGACGAAUAUCUUGAGUAUACUCCAGAGUACCACGAGACACGUGAAACCUUGUGGGAAGCAGGGGGGACCACCCCCCAAGGCUAAAUACUACCUGGUGACCGAUAGCGUAUAGUACCGUGAGGGAAAGGUGAAAAGAACCCCGGGAGGGGAGUGAAAGAGAACCUGAAACCCUAUGUUUACAAGCAGUGAAAGUUCUUUAUAUGAACGAUCGCGUACUUUUUGUAGAACGGGCCAACGAGUUACGGUAUGCAGCAAGGUUAAGCUGUUCUGCAGCGGAGCCGCAGCGAAAGCGAGUCUGAAUAGGGCGUUUUAGUUGCAUGCCGUAGACCCGAAACCGGGUGACCUAUCCAUGAGCAGGAUGAAGCGGAAGUAAAAUUUCGUGGAGGUCCGAACCCAUGUCUGUUGAAAAAGGCUGGGAUGACUUGUGGAUAGCGGAGAAAUUCCAAUCGAACCCGGAGAUAGCUGGUUCUCCCCGAAAUAGCUUUAGGGCUAGCCUCAAAUGUAGAGAUGCGGAGGUAGAGCACUGAAUAGCCUAGGGGCCCUCACCGGUUACCAAAGCUUAUCAAACUCCGAAUGCCGUAUUCUUUUAUUUGGGAGUCAGACUACGUGAGAUAAGUUUCGUGGUCAAAAGGGAAACAGCCCAGACCGUCAGCUAAGGUCCCAAAGUACAGGUUAAGUGGAAAAGGAUGUGGGAUUGCACAGACAACUAGGAUGUUGGCUUAGAAGCAGCCACUCAUUUAAAGAGUGCGUAAUAGCUCACUAGUCGAGUGAUCCUGCGCCAAAGAUGUCCGGGGCUCAAACCUGUCACCGAAGCUACGGCAGUGCAUUGCACUGGGUAGGGGAGCAUUGUAUGCGGGUAGAAGUCACACCGUAAGGAGUGGUGGACUGCAUACAAGAGAGAAUGUUGGCAUGAGUAGCGAAAGGUAAGUGAGAAUCUUACCCGUCGAAAACCUAAGGUUUCCUGAGGAAGGUUCGUCCGCUCAGGGUUAGUCGGGACCUAAGCCGAGGACGAAAGUCGUAGGCGAUGGACAACAGGUUGAAAUUCCUGUACCACCAAAGAUCGUUUGAGCAAUGGGGUGACACAGGAGGAUAGGUCAUGCGCACCGUUGGUUGUGUGCGUCUAAGCCCGUAGGGAGUUAGGAUAGGCAAAUCCGUCUUAACAAUCCUAAAAGGUGAUGGGGAGCGAAAUUGGUCGCGAACUGACUGAUUCCACACUGUCAAGAAAAGCCUCUAGUGAGAUCUAGGUGCCCGUACCGCAAACCGACACAGGUAGGUGAGGAGAGAAUCCUAAGACGAGCGAGAGAACUAUUGUUAAGGAACUCGGCAAAAUGACCCCGUAACUUCGGGAGAAGGGGUGCCACGGUAGGGUUAAUCGCCCGAGGUGGCCGCAGAGAAUAGGCCCAAGCGACUGUUUAACAAAAACACAGGUCUCUGCUAAGUCGAAAGACGAUGUAUAGGGGCUGACGCCUGCCCGGUGCUGGAAGGUUAAGGGGACGUGUUACCCGACACUCAACUGUGACUAUUAGAAAAAAUCUUCAUAAGCAGAAAAAAUUAUAAGAUAAACAGAAGAAUCUAGUAGUUAGAGUUGAGUGUUGGGGAAGCACUGAACUUAAGCCCCAGUAAACGGCGGCCGUAACUAUAACGGUCCUAAGGUAGCGAAAUUCCUUGUCGGGUAAGUUCCGACCCGCACGAAAGGCGUAACGAUUUGGGCACUGUCUCAACAAUAGACUCGGUGAAAUUGUAGUACCAGUGAAGAUGCUGGUUACCCGCAGCAGGACGGAAAGACCCCGUGGAGCUUUACUG
rfam:Geosporobacter subterraneus DSM 17957 genome assembly, contig: EJ58DRAFT_scaffold00106.106